GACAUACGUGUUAAACGGCCGCGGUACCCUGACCGUGCAAAGGUAGCAUAAUCAUUCGCCUUUUAAUUGGAGGCUAGUAUGAAUGGAUAAACGAGGGUCUAACUGUCUCCUUUAGCCAAAUAAAAGUUAACCUUCAGGUGAAGAUGCCUGAAUAAAAUCGAAAGACAAGAAGACCCUGUUGAGCUUUACCUACCCCGUGUCUAAUAAAUAAUAAGCUAACAAUUGUUUUUCAUGCCCAGGUUUUGUUGGGGCGACAAGGGAAAAGACCUAUCUUCCCGUAAAAGAAAGACACUGAGUCGCCUAAAUGACCCAAGCUUGAGUAAAUGAAUAAGCUACCACAGGGAUAACAGGCUAAUUCUUCUUGAGAGCCCACAUUAACAGAAGAGUUUGGCACCUCGAUGUUGGCUUGGGGGAACCUAUACGGUGCAGCAG
rnacentral:rRNA from 1 species